rnacentral:rRNA from 1 species
GGGGGUGUGACCUGGUAAAUCCGGUUGCAUGUUAACCCUGAGGCGUGAUGACGAUGCACUACGGUGCAGAAGUAGUUGAUGCCCUGCUUCCAGGAAAAUCCUCUAAGCUCCAGGUAACAUUAAAUCGUACCCCAAACCGACACAGGUGGUCAGGUAGAGAAUACCAAGGCGCUUGAGAGAACUCGGGUGAAGGAACUAGGCAAAAUGGUGCCGUAACUUCGGGAGAAGGCACGCUGGCAUGUAGGUGAAGUCCCUCGCGGAUGGAGCUGAAGCCAGUC